rnacentral:misc_RNA from 1 species
GUGAGUCAUCGAAUCUUUGAACGCACAUUGCACUGUCUGGAACUCCGGGCAGUAUACCUGUUUGAGUAUCAGUAACAUCUCUCCCACCAAAACUCGGUCACGAGCGGCAGGAGGAUCUGAGCCGUCAUCUCGCCGUAUCUCGGUAGAGGAGCGGCUUUAAACUGAUUUGCUGGUGUGGAAGGAGCUAGCUGACAGAGUUAAUGGAUCUCUGGAUCUGUCGCUGUCUGGCAAAACUGUUUCCGUCACUGGCUACUUAAAACUCACCACACAGUGUUAUGACUGUGAUCUUGAUCUCAAAUC